GGCGGAGAGAACCGUAGCUGGUGCAAUCCCUGUUCUUCUUUCGCUCAUUGCAGAGGAAAGGGAAGGACGAUUCGCGCGCUCUCCACAUGCAGGUUUCGAGGGCUGGGCCUUCUUUCCUCCCUCUUUAACUUCUCACCGCGAAGUUGCCUGCCUUUGCACCCCCGCCGGCCUGGCAUGGUUUGUCCUGGAGCAAAGCAUAAAGGGAACCGAAGGCAAGGGAGGCCAUCCUUCUGCCUGGCGCGCGAGGGGACCGGGUUUGCCUCGGCGGUUAUGGAGACCACGAAGCGCCCCGUGCUAGGCGCGCGGCGAAAGCCUCGGAGGCUCCCAGGACGGAAGUGGAAGCGCGGGGACGACUUCCGGCACCCCUCGUGACGUUCCGCUGGAAAGGCGCGUGGCCUGGCCGCCGAUUGCAAAGCGCGAGACCAGUAGAAACACGUGAUGUAAGCAGACAAAGCUGUCAUUUUCAAUGAAAGUAAUUCUUAGGAUGCAGUUGCAGAAUGACUGAGCCAGAAAGUAAAAGAGAGAAGAUGGGCUUUUUGUAUAAAGACUGGCAAAAGAGCCAUUGUUCUGAGGCAGCUUCACAGCAACUCUGCACUAGAUAUACAGCACAAUACAAGAAUAGUGCUGUGGCAUCUUUUAAACCUGCAAAUUUAUUUCCCAAAGGGAGGGAGAGGGAAACUUGAAAAUGGCAUCUGGUUGAAAGAGGCAUCCAACCAAAAUUCUGGACGUGCUAUAUUGAUGACACCACCACCAUCAUCAAAUGCUCCCAAAUUGAAGAAACACCACCUACUCAAUAUACUCCCUGGGAUCAAAUUUCCAUGCAAAGGGGAAAGACAACAGACUUUCAUUCUUCAAUGUUGAAAUAUGGAGACUAGACAACAGAGAAUUAGAAAUCUAAUUCAAUAAUCUAAUUCAAACCCACACACAUGGACUACUUCUUCUGCUUCGCAAGCAACCACCCCAUCACAUACAAAAGAAACUCCAAACCCUGUUCAAAAAGGCCAGGACACUGCAGCAUCUCAACACUAAGAAAAGCAGAAGAGAAACACCUACUCAACAUCCUUCUCCAUAACAGCUAUUCCAAAAACGUCAUAUCCUGACACACAGCACCCAAACCACACAGCCAACAGUUUUGGCUGUAUUUUUAAAUCUGAUUGUUGAAAAAAGUAUACAAAGUUUCAGCAUUGAGCAAUUUUGGCUAUUGGACUUAGCUGUCUUCUGUAAUUUAUAAGGUUUCUAUGAAUAUGGCGAUAGGUUGUGGUGCAGUUUACUUUUUACUUUUGAUUGUGUUAAGGAUCCUGAAAAUUGGGUGUUUGCCAACCAGCUUGUAUUUACGACUGGUUGAAGCAUCCUGCAGUCAUGUGAUCGCAAUUGCCAAUUUCUAGAAAGCUGGAUUCCCUUAAUGAUCAUGACUUGAUUGCUGUAAAAAUAAAAUUAUGUCUGACUCAGUUUAUGACCUCAAUAGCAUAUAACAGAAAUUUUGGUUCCAACUGUGGUAAGUCUAGGACUAUCUCUUGUCACUCUGCAAGAUAUAGAGCUGAAGAUUGUAGUUCUUAAAAUGGCUCAGUUGUGAAAGUAAAUUCAAGCCAUAAUUUCUGGAUUCUAGUUAAAAUCAUAAAAGUUCCAUUAGGA